ensembl:rRNA 5S_rRNA 5S ribosomal RNA
UCUCCAGCUCCAGCCACUUUGCAAACAAUGCCUAAUCUUGUCUGAUCUUGGAAGCUAAACAGGGUUGGGCCAGUUUAGUACUUGGAUGGGAGAC